rnacentral:lncRNA from 1 species
GUUCCGGGAUUUUGGAGUAGGACAAAUAGUAUCACCCACUGAGCUGACCAGAGUGGGAAAUGCUAAGGAUCAACUAGUUAAACGAGUUUGAACAAGUGAAUUGGAAGGGCUACUGAGGAAACAACCCAGUUGGUGAAAUGUUUGCU